UGGUUCUGGCAUCGAUGAAGAACGCAGCGAAAUGCGAUAAGUAAUGUGAAUUGCAGAAUUCAGUGAAUCAUCGAAUCUUUGAACGCACAUUGCGCCCUAUGGUAUUCCGUAGGGCAUGCCUGUUCGAGCGUCAGUGCAACACUCAAGCCUAGCUUGGACUUGGAUCUCGCCGGAGACGGCGGAUCUUAAAAUCAUUGGCGGCGUCCGCUCGGCCCUAAGCGCAGUAACUCUUCUCGCUAUAGGGUCCUGGUGGGUGCUGGCCACGAACCCCCAACUUUCUAAGUUUGACCUCGGAUCAGGUAGGGAUACCCGCUGA
rnacentral:misc_RNA from 1 species